GUCAGUCUGUCACCAUCAGCUGUUUUCUUUACUCAUUUAUCUAAUUGUCUAUUUGAAAUCUGUGACUUGAUACUAGACUUUGAAAAUCGCUGUAGCCCGACAAUUAAACCUGAUCUUUCUUCCCCUACCACUUUGUUAAUCACCCCCCCCCCCCACAACUGAUGAUUGUCAGUACUGCCAAAUGUUUUUGGUUAUGUUUUGAUGGUGUUUUCAUUAUCAAGUAAGAAAUGAACUGUAAUUACCGAAAAUAAUUAAUAACGUAAAGAAAUAAUUCAAAAACAAUAAUUGUAGUGUCAGUUGUUGUGUUGUAAGGUAAAUAAACGCGUCUCCACGAUCAGCUGAUCGGCUUCUCGGAUUAUUGCCUGUGAAGGUGGCGCAAUUGUUGGAAAGCAGUGAAAGCACGUGUAUUUCAUUUGUCGAGUGUGUCGAGCUACACGUCAUUUUCAAAGGGGAAGUUUUAAGAAGUCUCUUGAUCUAGGUUCACGAAAGCGAGAAAAAUCAUGCCAACAAGAUUUGAAGACAUUCUAAAGGACUUGAAAUUAGACUCUAAGGAUAGACAAAUACUUGAAUUGUGCCAUAAGCAUGAGUUGGAGUUGGAGUUACUAAAAAAAGGCAAUGAGUUGGAGUUACUAAAAAAAGGCAAUGAGUUGGAGUUACUAAAAAAAGACCAUGAGCACCAACUUGAUAAGCUGAAAACAGAACUUUCAGCUGCCAACUGGGAAAACUUAAAACAUUUGAAACUCGUGCAAGUAAGAAGUUUCAUUGACUCGUUCGAUAAUGUCAAAAAGUUGGAUCAAAAUAUUUCAAGAAAAGUUAGAUUUACAAAAUUUGCUAAGGAGAAUGAAGACCGAUUGAAGUCAUGGAACUUAUCAACUGAAUCUUUUUGUCAAAUCUUUCAACACUUGUACGUCAAAUUGUGCGACUCCGCUCACCCUGUAUUCACCACUGAAGACACACUGGAAAUAGGGGGGUCGCACCUGGAAGAUAAAGAAAUUCGAAUAAUCGGAUUUUUAUGGGAAAUGUACCCACUGCCGCCAGAAAAAUUAUUAAUUAGAAUAAUGGAUAAAUCAGAAAGUGUUGAAGUUAUGAAAAUAAAAACCGAAUUAUAGAGAUAUAAGGUUUUUCAUGUGAUUCAAAAAAUUAUUCAUUACCUAUUUAGUAAAAAAAAAGGAUUAUUAAUUUAUUAUAGUUUCCAAUUGAUUUAUUAUUAAUAAUUGACAACGAAAAGGAUUAAUAUCCAAACGGUAUUGUGUCAAAGUUUUCUAGAAUAACUCUCUUAUCAUAAACAACACCAAAUUCUUUUGUUUCUAUUUUAUUUAAAAGUUCUUUAGUUUUAGUAUCUCUGGCAAUUCGAUUAUACUGUGUACUAAUUUUUUUGUCUCCCUUGUGUGCACUUCAUUUUUGUGCUCAAGUGGCCCAAUAGAAAAACAGGGCAAAAAGCGAAUUUUAACUUUUAACAAAGGUACCUUGAAAAACGGGGUAGAUCUGAUAAAAAAUGGUGUGUGCCGAACAAGCCCAUAUAGUUUUGCUUUUCUUAAACAUACCUUUGAAAACAAGAUCAAAAUGCUUAAAAGGUGUUGUGUGCUGAAGGGGCCUUUAUAGUAGUAUUUAUACUUUGACAAUUUGAAACGGACUUUAUGUAUAGCCAAACACUUCCUUGUUUUCUUAUGUCUUACUUAUAAACAAAAAAUAAAGAGCUAAAAAAUCUAACAAAGGAAAAUAACUUGAAGACGACACGCCAAUCGAAUAAGGAUUUAGUGAGAAUAGAUAAACAAGUAAAAAUAAGAAAAAACUAAAAAAAUAUUAGUUACCAUAGAAACAAAAAAAACAAUGAUACGACCAAAAACAAAUUAAAGAGAAAUUUUGAGAGCAAAGUAAAAGCUAGUCAAGAAAACAAGCUUUUCUACAAAGUAAUAAAAAACAAAAAGAAAAAACAACAGUAACAAAAAACAAACAGAUUUAGUAGGAAACUAGUCGAUUAAACCAAUUUUGUUUCUGUAACUAGACCCAAAAAAGUAACUUCGUCAAAAAAACACAGCAACACAAGUACAUGUUUUACGAAAAAAUGUAAUAAUGGCAAUAUUUUUUCUAAAACAAAAACUUCUUAAAUACCUGCAGUAAUUUUUAAAAGAUAUCUUAGAAAAGAAAAGAGAAAUUUAAAAAUCUAGUGCAUGUUUGGUGACUUUACAAAGAACUUUUCAGGUAUUUUGAUUUAAUUUUUGAAACUCCCUUGAAUUUUUAGAGAACUUGAGCUAGAACUGGGUUGUACUUCAUACAAAUAAACUAAAUAAAAACAAAGAAUAGUUUAAAAUUUCAGAGAAAAUUGAUAAAAAGAGUGAAAUUAAAAGCAGACACAUUUACUGAUUUGUUUUUAUCAGAUUCCAAGGCUCGAAAAUUAAUAGAAUUUUUCAGUUUACAAUACAAAACUAAAGUAUUUUUUAAUAAAACAUCUUUAGAAACUUUUAUUGAUCGUUUCUAAUACUAGGUUUCUACUUCUUUAUAAAAAUGUAUUACACAAAAACUGAGAAUACUAGAAAAAUAAGGUUUUAACCAUUUUAAGAAGCAAAGUUCAAGUUGUAGGUAAUAGUUAUUUAGCCUUUUGCAAUUUGAGUAUCAAAUCAUGAAUCACUAAUCAGUAAGAAAUACUCAACUGUUAAUGUUUUUAUUUUUUAUAGAAUGAAAAAAUAUACAAGUUUUAUUAAGAGAAUAAUUCAUAUUUUAACUUUUCGAAUGCAACUGCAACCGUUCUUCUUUCAAGCUGACCCUAUUUGAUUUUUCAAUUAUUUUUGAAUUUAAUGAAGAGAAUUUUACAAUAAAUUUGCUUUUUCAAAAAAAAAAAACUGAGCAAGCUCUUCCAAAAAAAAAGCUGCAAAACGUCAGCAUGUAUAUAGGUGAUACACAAAAUUUGUAUCCAUAAAUUUUGUGCAAAAUUAUUUACAUAAAUAUUUUAAUGGUUCAUCAAAAAACUUCAGAAAAACUUAGAGAAACUUGUAGUACUUAUCUAAUGCCCUAAAAACGUUAAAAUUUUAUGACAUACAGUCCAUCACGUCAGAUCAAUUAUUAAUAAGUAUUUAUAAAAAUUCGAGUAAAAACGUAAAAUUUUUACAGUAGAUAGAUGCACUCCUUUUACCAAAAAGGCACAGUACUUUAAACAACAGAAAUUAAACAAAUCUUUCAAUUUACAUGGAUUAGUUCACGACGGCGUUUAAUAAUAAUAAUAAUAAUAAUAAUAAUAAUAAUAAAAAUUAUAAAUAAGUGUUUAUUUUUUGUGUAGUCGAACCACAGAUGCUUGCCUUUGAUGAACUGAAGGUUGAAUUACGACCUCUGAGAAUACUCAAAAUACCAAAAAAAAAUUAUGUAUCUACUUAAAUAAAAAAAAUCCUUUAAAUAUUUAAAUCCUUUGUGAGAAUACACAGUAGUAUGACUAGACAUUUCUCCUUUCCAGACAUCCUUUUUCCAGUCAGUGAUUUAAUUAUUGUCACUAAAUAACAUAGGUACAGCAUGUACUACCAAAUUAGUGGUAAAUUUAAUACAAAACCAUAGAUUCUUUAACUUUAAAUAUUCUCUAAAGAUCGACUGUACAGUAAAAUAGCGAUACAGGACUGUACUUUUUUUGUCAUUUUAUUUUCUAUUUACAGAGAUUUAAAACUAUGUAAAAAACUAAAGAACAGAGCUGAUAUUUUUAAUUUUUCACUAAUAUGUGGAGGUAGAAACUAUGACACAAAUGUGUACAAUUUUAUACCUAGUGUCUUUAUUUCAUUCCAAAGUUACCAACUUAAUUUCAAACUAACUAAAAACAUAAUAAUUUUUUCAAAGAGAUUAAAAACUGGAGAAAAUAUAAACACUUACAAAUUUUACUUUUUCUUUUUUAUUAGUUUUUUAUUACUUUUUCAAAAUUUGUUAUCGAUUUUUUUCAAAACAAGUAAAGUUAUAAUUAAGGAGGUAAAGUAAUAAAGACUGAUUUGCUGGAUAAGAAAAAAGAAUAAAAUAAUUACAGGGUCAGUCAACUAUUGACCAUUUCUGAAAUUUUGUUAUAUGUUAACUGCAGCUAUAUUGUCAACUUUGACUUGAGUUUUUUUCAAAAAAUCCGACAACUAUUUACAUUUAAUUUUAUUACUGUGACGGGUAGGAAUGUAUUGUAGGUAAGUACAUGGUGUUUGUUAAAUGAGAGCAGACUUUAUUUUUUACACUGGGAGAGCUUGUAUGCAGUGCCACCCUCAAACAAGUCCAUUUGUUCUCCAGCCACCAAUUCGCCAAAUUGCAGUCUCGAUAGUAAUAAUUGUGCGAUUCGGCAUCGCGGUGUGGUUGCAUAUGCUCGUGGCCGCCCUGUCGGCCUCCGCCAUGUGUCCCAUUCUGGGCCCGUGCCCCCGACAUGGAAUCCGUUUCUAGAUCAGACCCCCUAGGUGGACCCCCCAAAUGCACAUUUUGAAAGUAAAAAAAUAUCAAGCAAAACACCCCGAUUUUCAAGGGUAAAACACCCCGAA